rnacentral:rRNA from 1 species
UGUCGAGGCGGUUAUGUUAGUCUUUCGUAAAAUCUACGAGCUUAACUUGUAGUGGGCGAGGGAAACGGCAUAACUUGAGGUUGGGAGAGGUGUGUGGAACUCACGGUGUAGGGGUGAAAUCCGUUGAUAUCGUGGGGAACACCAAAGGCGAAGGCAGCACACUGGCCCAAUUCUGACGCUCACACACGAAAGCUAGGGUAGCGAACG